UACGUAGGCUGCAAGCGUUGUCCGGAAUUAUUGGGCGUAAAGAGCUCGUAGGCGGUUUGUCGCGUCUGCUGUGAAAGUUCGGGGCUCAACCCCGGAACUGCAGUGGGUACGGGCAGACUAGAGUGCGGUAGAGGAGACUGGAAUUCCUGGUGUAGCGGUGGAAUGCGCAGAUAUCUGGAGGAACACCAGUGGCGAAGGCGGGUCUGUGGGCCGCAACUGACGCUGAGGAGCGAAAGCGUGGGGAGCGAACAGG
rnacentral:rRNA from 1 species